AGCCCUGAUGGAAAGCACCUGGCUACUCCUAGCCUUGGCAUGGCUUGUUGCAUUGGUUUUUCUCUCAAAAGUAUCCACUCACAAACGCCUCAAGCUAAAUCAUCCACCAGGACCAAAACCAUGGCCUAUUAUUGGCAACCUGAACCUCCUCGGUUCAAACCCACAUCAAUCCUUACACUUAUUGUCCCAGAAAUAUGGAGAAAUCAUGCAACUAAAAUUUGGUUCCAGCCCUGUUGUAGUAGCUUCAUCCCCUGAAAUGGCAAAAGAAUUCUUGCAAACGCAUGACAACAUUUUCGCCUCUCGGCCUACAACUGCUGCUGCCAAAUACACUAGCUACAACUGCUCCGGCAUGUUAUGGGCACCAUAUGGUCCACACUGGCGACAAGUUCGUAAAAUUUGUCUAACCCAAAUAUUUAGUCCAAAACGACUUGACCGCUACGAGAGCAUGCGCAUUGAGGAAAGGCAUGCUUUCAUGUCUCGUUUGUAUGCUCUCUCAGGAAAGCCAGUACUUUUGAGAGAUCAUCUAAUCCGUUUUACACUCUCCGCUGCAUGCCAAAUGGUUUUGAGUAACAAGUACUUUGCCCAAUCUGAAGGGGAUGGAUCUGUAGUUACCUUUGAAGAACUCCAAGAGAUGAUAGAUACCUGGUUUUUGCUGGGUGGUGUGUUCAAUAUUGGGGAUUGGAUUCCGUGGCUCGACAGAUUUGACCUUCAAGGUUGCGUAAAGCAAAUGAAAGAACUUUACAAGAAAUUUGAUAGAUUCCAUAACCAUGUGCUUGAUGAUCAUCGGGCCAAGAGGAAAACGGAGAAAGAUUUUAUCCCUAAGGACAUGGUGGACAUUCUAUUGCAAUAUGCUGAAGAUCCUGAUCUCCAGGUUAAACUCACCGAAGAUCAGAUGAAAGGGCUAAUUCUGGUGCUAUUUCUUAUCAUUGGUUAAUCAAAUUUCCAGAUCUCUAUACCUCUUUAACUUACUGAAACUUAAAGCUAGCACUUUAGUUUAGCUUACUAUAAUGUGCCAUUAAAUAUAACUGUCUUUUUUCUUUUGAUUAAGAGGUUUUCUGCUUUCAAUAUGUUGUCAAGCAUGAUACUUCAUCAGCAUUUGAUCAUGGCAAGACUAAUUUUACCAAGAUUUGAUCAUGUCCAGGACUUACUGGCUGGUGGUACCGAUACCUCGGCGUCCACAGUAGAAUGGGCAAUGAAUGAACUUCUCAAACAUCCACAUCUCAUUGAAAAGGCAACCGAAGAGCUUGAUAGAGUGAUAGGGAGAGAUAAGUGGGUGGAAGAGGCUGAUUUCUCAAAGCUACCUUUUCUAGAGGCGAUCAUAAAGGAAACCUUUAGGUUACAUCCAAUAGCAACGCUGCUUCCACCCCACCAUGCCAUUGAGGAUGGCACUGUAGCUGGUUAUCACAUUCCUAAAGGAACAGUGGUGUUUAUAAACACACGGAGUAUAGGGAGGAACUCAAAGUAUUGGGAUUCUCCUGAAGAGUUCAUGCCAGAAAGGUAUUUGGAGAAGGAUAUUGACAUGAAGGGACAAAACUUUGCGUUAUUGCCAUUUGGCUCAGGUCGAAGGAGGUGCCCAGGCGAUAACCUUGGACUCAAACUUGUUCGAUCAACGUUGGCCAACUUGUUGCAUGGAUUCAACUGGAAAUUGCCUCAUGGCAUGAAACCAGAAGAAAUUUGCAUGGAAGAACUCUACGGAUUCAUAACUCAUCCAAGGACUCCAGUUGCUAUGAUCCCAGAACCACGUUUGCCGGUCAAUCUCUACUAGAGAUCGUAUGAUUUAAGGGAAAAUUGAAAUGUGUUCCUUGUUGGCAAAAUAAACCAAACCUAAAAAUUGUUAGUGUCAGAUUUUUAGUGGUUGUGUGAUCUAGAAAUUAAUAUUUUAUUUGGUAAUUUCUUAUACAAGUGGUUUCUUUCUCAAUAAGUUUGCUAGGUUAUAAAUAAGACAUUAUUUAGUAUAUUUUUUUAAGAGAGUCCAGAAAGAGUCUGUAAGGUUUUAUUAUGGUAUGAGUUUCUUGCACUAUUUUGAAAUAUCAAUAAUAGUGUGAAUUAUUUAUUUCUUUUGUCUCUCAAAAAUAUGUUAGUGAUUGUUUCAUCCUUUAAUCUAUAACCCUACGCGCAUUAGUUAUUAUUAGAACUUUAAAAUUUGGAAUCUACAAUUGGUAUCACAAGCCCAACACGAGGUUAGUUUUGGAUGUUUCCAUUGUCAGAGAAUUAAGGCAUUUCUGUUGUAAGAGAAUUCAGGCACAAAUUUAUUGAAAAGUAUUUGGUUGACUAAGUUAGACCACAAGGUUGGUCUUGAAGUGCACAGUUGGUGAGAAAUUCAAUCAUAAGAUUGGCUAAAAAAUUAUUAUAUUGUUACAGGUACUAUGACAGAGAUUAGAGAAGAAUCUUAUCAGAGUUGUUGAUUGCUGUGGAUUAUUAGAUUGAAGAAUUUAAUUAGUUAAUCAACCAAUGAGGCCACAAAACUUGAAAAAAGAGGAAAGAAUUCGUUGAUAUACGUGAGUUAUUAAUGAUGCGUGUUUUGAGAUCUAUGUAAUAAUGAAAGGUAUAGCAUACUAACUCCUAAAUAUAAAAGCCAAGAAUCAUAUUAUUGUUGAUUUUUAAGAGUAAAAAAAUAUCUCGAACAUUGCAAUUUAGAUAAUUUUCUUGAUGGAUUGUUACAAAUGAAUUACCAAAACAUGUUGUCAAGAGGAAUGCUAGAUUAUUUUUUCAAGUUAUGUGAAAAACAAUGUUUGACUGUACUUCAAAAUAUUUGUUCAUCGUACUAAAAUUUAUUUUGGAAGAAUAUUUAUUACGUUUUGAAAACUGUUGAAUUGAAUGAUGCUUUUAAAUCAAAAUUUGGUUAUUGGACAUGGUUAGUUGAUUUUGAGAGUGAUAGAUUUGUAGAUGACAUGGGUGAUUUAGAAGAUUUUGAAUGGGUUGAUAGUUUAGAUUUGCAUACCAUAUUUGGAGAAAUUGGGAGUGAUGAUUUUGUUGAAAAAAAUGUGUUAAUUUGACAAAGAAAGAAGAAAAUUUUGAUUUGAUAAGACAAGAAGAAGAUGAAAUUGCUAUUGAAAAAUUUGUUAGUUUGGACUUUCUUCAAGAUGAUGGUAAGAUGUUUGAUUUGAUAGAUAUGGAUUUAUUGGAGUUGAAAAAUAUUUUACUUCUAAAGAAUUGAUUGACAUUGUGAACUUUUUUUGGUAAUUGUGGUAGUGGAAUUCUUGAAUUGUUUGGUGAUGAUCAUUUUGAUAAAAAUGCAAACUAUGAUUUUGUAUUCUUAGGCACUUACGUUGGUAGUAAAUAUGGUAACUCUUGUGAUGAAUGGCUUUGUAUGAAUAAGUACUUUGAUCCAAAGGAAAUUAUUUGCAAAAUACAAAGUGCAAUUCACUGUCACGAGUAAAGAUGAAAUAAAAAUCGGCAACAAGAUAGAGUUGCAUAUCAAUUAUAAUAUGACAUAGAUUUGCAUGGAGACUGUUGCUCUAGAUAGAGUUGAACCUAUCUCAAUGAAGAGUUUGGUUUAAGAGAGGCAAUGUUAACAAAAUAAGCCAAGCCUAAACUUUUCUACUUAUUUAUUUACUAAUUUUAUUGGCAUCAGAUUUUCAGUAGUUGUAUGAUUUAAAAAUUUGUGUUUUAUUUGGUAACUAGUUUUGUACCCGUUCGUUGAACGGGAAUCGUCGAAAAAUAAUAAACUUUAGUCAAUUUAUAAAAAUGUCGAUAUAAAAUACAUAUUUAAUAUAUAAUCUAUUAUAACUUGUCUUAAGUAUAUUACUAUGUGCGCAUUGUAAUGUAAAGUAUUCUUAUAAUAUAAAUUUGAACAUCUAAUUCAGUGAAUAAUAAUUCAAAAAUAGAAAAAAUAACAUUCAACAAUACCAUAACAUUCAAAAACUUGAAAAUAAAUAAAAAGUGCAGUAAAUAGUAUCAAAUAAUAUUCUACUAUUCAAAAACUUGUUUUUGUUUUUUUCUGUUUGAACAUUCUCCUCGAUUUGUCCGUGUAAAUCAGCAUUUAUUGAUUUUCUAUUAUCACUGCAUGAUAGCAAAGUAGGAUAACUAAGUAUAAAAAAAAUAAAUGAUUUAUCGCAUUCAAGUUUGUGUAUAACAAUAUGUAAAGAUUAUAAUUAAGUAAAUGGCCAGAGUCUUUUAAUUAACUAAUGAAUUUGCAGAUAUAUCUAAUAGAGAUAUUUAUGUCUCUUGUAUUUAUAUCGCAUUACUUUCCAGUGCCUUUUGUUUUUUGUUAUUUUUUCUGAAGGCAAAUUAACAAACAUCGUAGUAUAUGAUCACAAAAAUCAAUUAACAAACACGUUAGAAAAAAUCCUACAAAAAUAACGAUGAAAGUACUUGUUUAAAUCCUAUGUCUUCAUACAAAAUAAAUAGAAAAUAAAACAAAAAAAAAUUCAAGAUAUGUUACUAAGCUCUUACAAUUGAAGAUCAACAUGCCUUUUUAAAAAAUAUAUAUAUAUAUAUAUAUUGAAAGAAAAUGUACCUGAUAAUCAAGAGGAGUGGAAACCCAAAAUCGAUACUUUAAUAUGCCAACCACUUGCACUGGAAAUACCUAACCAUGAAUUUGAUGCUUGAAAUCAAUAUAUUAGAGGCUAUAUGUAGUGUAGACAUAGGAAAUAAGAAUUGAUAAGAAUAUAAAGAAAUAUUGAUAAGAACAUUAAAAGUAUGUUUAUCUUAAUUUAAGUUGCUUAAAGUACGUAACUUUGGGUAGGAAAUAAGAAUCUUAUAAUAUUAAGAAUUCUUAUAGGAAAUAAAACCAUAAUCGUCCAAAUAACUUUGGGUAGGAAAUAAGACCUUAUGUGACCCGUACUAUGCACGUAUAUAAACCUGUACGUAAUAAAUUUACAAAUGCGUUAUGAAGAUAGAUUUUACCGACCUUAAAAUACCACCUCCACUAUAUCGAGUCCUUUAAGUGCAUGAACUCCUAUGGUAUGGGUCCACACACGAAAUACUCCCCACCAUUUGGGCAGAGAUGUAUUGUGAUUAAAGAAUUAUUAGCAGAAAUAUAUUAAAAAAAAAAGACGGGCGGAGGACACUACGGACGGAGGCCUUUCUCUUGGAUUGGAGGACACUACGGACGAAGGGUCGGGUAGGGGCCUUCGGGGUGCAAAACUCCAACAAAUAUCUAAUGUUUUUUCUCAUCUUUCUUUAGCUAUGAUAAUGGGAUUUUAUUUCUUUGGUUGAUGACACUCCAUUUUCUUUAUGGACUUUUCCAGAAUUUUUCAAUCAGAUAAAGUGCCAUUUCUCUUUGUACAUCAAUUAUGCAUGGGGACUGUGAGUCUUGUAAAAACUUUCUCGGGUUAAUUUUGUUUAAUUUCCAUGUCUAGAUUGUUUGUAUGUUGUUCUAUAUAUGGGUAGAUUAUCUUAAAAUAAAAAGGAUCCAUGAUGAAGCUGUUAAAAAAAAAAAGAAUAGGACACUAUAAAAAAAUAUAUUAUCAUUUAUUCCUAUAUAUCUAAUAGAGGAGAUUUAUGUCUCUUUUAUUUAUAUCGCAUUGCUUUCCAGUUCCUUUUUUGGGUAGGAAAUAAGAAUCAUAUAAUAUUAAGAAUUUUUAUAGGAAAUAAGAAUUGAUAUAUAUCCAAACAAAAAAGGAGCAAUCCACGUAGGAAACUACUUGCCGUCUCGUUAAGCCACGUAGGAAAGAGAAAAUAUGAAGGGAUAAGUAUGAGGAUACGACUUUAUUAUAUAUAUAUAUAUAUGAUUUCUUAUGCUAGUAAUUUCUUAAUUAACAAGUUUCCUAUAUAUAUAUAUAUAUAUAUAUAUAUAUAUAAAGGAGUUGUUGUGUGGCUGUUGGUUAAUUUUCAUCUAACCAUUUUGAGGGGUACAUUAGGCAUUUCAAUACCAGUGUACAAGUCAUUAAUGUUAGGGUACUAGCAUUCUAGGUGUAUUGGUAUGUACAUUACCCAACCUAUCCUUAGUGGCUUGAUGCUUCCACUCUGUCGAUGCUUAGUUAUAAAUAGGACAUUAUUUAGAGUGUUUUCUCCAGAGAGUCCGAGUCUGUGAAGUUUAUUAUGGUGUGACUUUCUUUCAUUGUUUUGAGAUAUCAAUAAUAGUGUGAAUUAUUUAUUUCUCUCCUCUCCUAUAAAUAUUUGAGUGAUUGUUUCAUCUUUCAAUCUAUGACUUUAUAUGCAUUAAUUAUUCUUAGAAUUCUAACAUUUGGGUUCUACAUUCCUACACUGUAUCACUCAAUGGUUGAACUCAUUCUCUGCUCUCCAAUUGUAUCAUGCCCUUGUAAUCGCUUAGCCCAUUGAAAGUGAUAGUGAUCGACAAAUUCCUACAAGUACAUAGGGGUCAAUCAGAGUAAUAAUUCACCUAAAAUAUUUUAGGGGUUGAAUCCACAUAGAUGAGUCAAUUUUCUACUUUAAUUAUCGUAACAAAAUAAUGAAACUUAAAUUCAAAGGAUUUUUAAUUACUAAUCAAGAAAUUGAAUAAAUAAUCAAAUCAAAUAAGAUAUAGGUGAGAAAAUAAUUGGCAAAAGACUAGGGUUCAGGUUUUAAUCCAUAUUUUGAAUUAUUUAUCUAGUUAAUUUCUUAACAUGCCAAGAAUAUAUCAUGCAAAAGUUUUAUAGAUUACCUUUUGAUACAUCCAAAUUGCGUCCAAUUAAAUUUCAUGUCUCUCCCAAAAUUAUAAAUAUUUAAUUAAAAGAGGUUUCUGACAAUUUCACUCGCAUCCCUCAGAUUUGAAUAAUUACACUAACCUCUCUUCAUAUAGCUAAAUGACUACAAUAUUCUUCACUUAUAAAUAAUUCAUACAAACAAAAAAAAAAUACCCUAGAACUACAACUAGUUUUUCAUUCUAAAGCAACAGUUGCCACAUAAAACAACUUUUAUUCUCUCUCUCCGACCCUUUCUCCUACUUUCUUUCUCCUGCAUCUCAUAGUUCACUAUUUUUUCGCAACUGCCAUCUACACAACCAUUUAAUAUAUCUCGAAUCCUUAUUAUUAUGGAAAUAGAUCCUCUUUCUUUUUUUUGUAAGUAUUAUUGAAUUAAAAUUGCCAAAUGACAGUUAUCGGAUUUGAUUUGUUGUUAAACUAAAUGAAGAUGAAAAGGAUGAUGGUGAUACAGAAUGCAGACAAGAAAAUAAAACUAAUGGCUAAAAAGGAAACAUGAAUUGAGGAAGAUUGUGUUAUUAUGUCAAUUGUGUAAAAAAGAAUUUUGGGAUAAAAAUUGCAAUUGAAUUUGCCUAGAGACAUGGGAUGUUUUUUCUAGUGUUGCUUUUGGUUGCUCCGUGUUGGUUUUCUUAGUGGGUUUGAUUAUUUUAGCAUCAACGAAGUUGCAACAUUUUGGAUUGAGUUUGGAUAGUGACAUUGGUCAAUUCAAGCACUGAAUUUAGACCCCAAAAAAAAUGAGGUUAAAGAUUAGGUUGAAUGCAAACUUUUAUUGUCAUAAUUGAUUUGUAUGGGAAGUUUUGGGACAGCAAUGGUAGGCUGUCAAAAUUGUGAGAAUAUGGGGAUUAAACUGAAGUGGUUUAUUGAAGUUGUUAUGGUGGUGGUUAUGUUGCUUACAAUAGUUGUAACGUGGAAGAAAUUUAUUAGUGUGUUUUUCCCCUUCUAAGUAAUAAAGGGGUAUUUUAGGAUUUUUAAGAACAAAUUUAGUAUAUUGAGUCUAUAUUGUUACUGAAAUGUUAAUCAUAGGGGAGGUAGGUGUAAUUUUUUAAACUAGAGGGGAGCUUCCUGCAAUAAUAAAAAAUCUCAAGGGAGGUUUCUGAAAUUAUCCCGUAAUUAGGUUAAGCAUAUUUAUCUAUCUAAUACAUGAUUAUAUAUCUCUUCUCAGUUCAAUACAAAUCCUAAAACAUGUCUAUGGUGGCUAAUCACAAAUAUGUAAUUAAGACAAGAUAAAUAAAUCAAGAUAAAAGUCAAGAAUUUAACUAGAAUAAAUAAUCAAUUCUCUUCAAAAAUUCCUAACCCUAGAAGUAAAUUAGUUCAUCAUAAUUGUAAGAAUAAACAAGAAUUCAAUAUUGAAAAUACAAGACGUGGAAUAAAGCGUAAGAAAAGUUUCUUACCGACUCCAGAUCCCGUGUCUUGAUUGUCAAUCUCGAUUCUUCAAUUCCUAAAGAAAGCCAUAGAACUAAUGUUUUGACAAGUGUUUUAUCUCCUAAAAAUGUUCUAAGUACUCCCAUUUAUAGUUUUCUAUAAUCUCUGUUGAAUCUCGAAAGGAAUACGCUUCUUGAAAUUGAAGAAAACGAGCCCCGCAUAGUUUUUUUAUGACAUCCGGUGACAAGUCAAUUUCAAGAUCAAAUUUCCACGCGUUUGGAAUACAUUUCCUCCUCGAUCUCACUUUUUUGCAAGUUAGGAUCCAAUUAAAGCACAAAAAGGCAUAAUCAACCAAUAAUUUACAUGUGUAACAUUGCUAAAAUCCACACCCUACUAGAGAGCUUGGGAGUUGGGACAGUAAAUUUCACCUAAGAAAACAUUAAAGAGACAAUAUUCCUUUUGGGGAUUUCUAUUGUGAAACAAAAUAAAAGUCGCAACCAAACUUUUGUCUUUCUUUAAAUUGCUUUUGGUGAAUUCUAUAUUAUGAAACAAAACGAAAGUCACAAUCAAAAUUUUUUUUUGCUACAAAACGAAAGCCAAAAUAUCACAAUUAUAACAUGUGGAAGAUUUCACAUGGAAAUAUUGAAGAUUGAAGAGAGAGAUAAAAAAAAAAAAUAGCUCCCUUGUUGCUUGUUAGCAAUGAAAAUAGGUACAUAACGGAAUUAAAUGUCCUACCUAUACUAAAAGCAGGAGCUUACAAUUGAGGUUGGAAUUGGGUUGACUUGAUUGUCACUUUAUUUGCAUGUGCUCCUUUUGUCUGGUAAAUAGGGAUCUUAAUCAUAUAAGUCAUAAGAUCAGUGUGCAUCGCUAGACUUCAUCGAAGAUCAGAAAUUUUGGAUUUCUCCGUGUUAGUUUGUACUGAUUGUAUAGUUCCCUCAAGUCUUUACUUAAAAUUGUAAAAAUUUUAUCUAUAAAAUCCGGUAUCGUUUCGAUAAAAAAAAAGAAAAAAAGAUUGUCCCUUUAUUCCAAAGCUGAUUGCACCAUUUUUGAGGUAGCAAUUGUUGUAAUUUUGAGCAACUUCAGUGGCAAUUGAUAACAUCGACAUACGUCAUCUUGGUCUCUUUUUCCGCUUCCAUUAAAACUCUGACGGAACCGACUGAUACGGCAGAAAGUAGCCAUUGUUCCAAUUACACAUCCAUUUUCAUGCUUAAUCCCUCUCACCCCUCUCAAUUUUGCUUUCUACAUAAAUUUUUUUUUUCCCAUCAACUUUUUUAAGUUUUUUUUUUUGAUGGAGUUUUGUUUCAGUACGUUUUUGUUAACUAAUUUGUAAGUUUUUUUUUUUAAUGAACUGUGAAUUCUCGCAAAAUUGAAACUCUGGACAAAUGGAAGGAAGGGAUAUGCUAAUCAGGUUUAAGUCAAUCAAUUUGCCUUGCAAUUGUCCAAAGUAUUAAAGAAUUUAAUGCGGUUUCUUAUAGUCCAAUUAAGUUGUGCUGAUAUGAUGAUGACAUAAAGUACUCUGGACCUGGAGUAUAAUUUUUUUAAAUUUGACUUUGCACCAUAAAGUUUAGUUAAUGACAAUUUAGUACAUAAAACUUCUAUUUCAUGCUACAAGCGCCUACAAUCCAAUUCAUAACUGUAUGCUAAUGAUGGUUGAACAUAUAUAAGUUACACAUUUGAGAAGCAAAAUUAUCCUAGUCUCUUUAGCAUUGAUGAAUUAGUGUUUAAUUAUGGCAUUUCAAUUUAACCGUUGACAAGUAAUUGUGUGACAAGUCCCUGAAAAAUGAUUGUCAAUAUGAGAUAGAGAUAGAGAUAAAAGUAGGAUGUAUCUAAUUUUACAUUUCUCUUAUCAGAAUUGUUGAAGAGUCUGGAAAAUAUUCCAAUAACAACAGUCUCUAAUCCAUGAAAAAAAAAAUAAUCUUAUUCAUCAAAGUCAUGAUUUUGAUAUCCUUCAACGAAAGUAACACAGACUUGCUUCUUUUUUUUUUUUUUGAGAUUGAUGGAAGGAAAAGAAAUAAUCAAGACUUCAAUAAUGGAAAGGGAAACAAGAAUAACGCUAGGCAAGACGGCAUGGAUUUCAAAUGUUUUUUUUUUCCAGCGUUCAAUUCCCCUGGAGUCUCAAUAUUUGGAUUGUAGGUUUUUUAAGAAAAAAUUUUUACAUUUUUCAUGAACACAUUUUUUAAUUAUUUUAUUAUUUUAUAUAUAUCAAAUUAUUAUAAUAUUUUUUUUACAAAAAAUUUUAAAAAAUAACAAUCUAAACGCAAUUGCAGCACUAGUGCUUAGCAAGCUUGAAACAACCCUCUCGAAUUAAGGUGUGAUCAUUUUGACCAAAAAAAAAAAAUUAAGGUGUGAUAAUGCUGCACGUCAUCUACGAUUUUUCAGAUUCCUACUUCUUCUAUAUUUUGACAAACGGCAUGUCUGUGUCUAGCAAGAAGUGUGAUAGUGCUGUACGGCAUCAACAAUUUUUUAGAUUCCUACAACUUCAAUACUUUGACGGGAUAAUUUUAAAAAACCUCCCUUGAGAUUUUGAUAAUUUUACUCUGCUCUCCUCAAUUUUAAAUAAUUAUGCUUACCUCCCUUGACAUAAUAAAGUACUUAUAAUGACCUUCACUUAAUAGACAAUUCACAGUAUAAUACAAUAUAUUUGUAAAACCAAAAAAAAAAUCAUAUUUAUCUAUGUCUUGGCUAGCUCUACUCUUCUCUUUUCUAGUUAUUAUACUGUCAUAUUCUCUCUUUUUUUCUUCAGUUUUAUAGAUAUUACCAAAUUGAAAUUGUAAAAUUAGUAGUUCAAUUGAAAUGACAAGACUCGGAGUCAUAGAGAAAAAAAAUAAUGAAAUUAAUGAUUGAAACAGGUUGGAGGAUCAAAGAUGAAAAAUUUACCAUAUAUUUUUUUUCUGUGGCAAGCAUUGAUGAUCCUUUGGAUAGUUGCUUUGAUUUGGAACUAGAGUUUUUACUUAGGUGGUUGUUAUGAAUUGGGAUGGUGGAUUUGUGCAGAGUGUGAAAGAAAAGGAUCGAGUAUACUGUAUUUUUUUUUUUUACUUUUGUAUUAAAGGGUAAUUUAGGAUUUUUGAGAAAAAAUCUAGUUUGUCGGACUUAUAUUAUUAUAUAAACAAUAAAAAUAAGGAGUUAUAUGUAAUUUUUAAAAUUAAAGAGAGCUCUUGCAAUUAUGAAAAAUGUUAAGGAAGGUUCAUGAAAUUAUCCCAUACUUUGACAAAAGACGUGUCAAUGUCCGGCAAGACGUGUUAUAAUGCUGCACGCAUCAAUGAUUUUUCACAGCCCUACGACUUCAAGACUUUGACAAAAGACAUGUCUGUGUCUGGCAAGAAGUGACAUAAUAUAAUAAAGAGCAAAUUUUCCAAAUAGUCCUUCAACUUUUUAACUAAUUCACAUUUGGUCCUUCAUCUUAAAAAUGAGAUAGAAUGAUCCUUCAACAAAAUUUUUUAGACCAAAUUGGUUCUUAUAUGGCAUAGCAGCCAAGAAAAAGUUGGAUCAAAGUGGUGAUGAGAUUUGAAUUUUCUUACCUGUUCCGUCACAUAGGGACCAAUUAAGCCUAAAAAAUUUCGUUGGACAGCCAUUAUGUCCCAUUCUUAAGAUGAAGGAUCAAAUAUGAAUUAGUAAAACAUUUGAAUGACUAUUUGGGGGACUUGCUCCAUAAUAAAAUUGAAAAGCUGGGAUGUUUGGAAAAUAUUUAGAGGCUUGUAGCAAAGUGUGUUAAUGGGAAAAAAAUGAUUUGAUGGGCAUACCCAUGAGAUAAUCUUGACCUAUUGAACUUGAAGAGGACACGGCUGCUGUGGAAAUUAUAAGUACAAAGACAAUUCGUGGUUUCUGAGCUACAGCAAUGAGUGAUAUUUUUAGGAACAUCUGUUGGGGUUUUUGAUAAUUAUGUAGUAUUCUUAAACUUCUAAAAAUAUCACUUACCUCUCUCAUUUGAAGUCAACAUCACAAGUCACCAAUAUUUUUACCCUCAAUACUAUAGGUUUAUUCUGGAAAAAUACUUUCCAACCAAAAGAAUUGGCAUGAUUUUCUUCUUUUGCUUUUUUUUUUUUUUUGAAUUUUGGCCUGUUUUAAUGAAAAUGUCGCAUAUAUUAGUCCCAAUUCAGGAGCUUAUAUUUUUGGGUGUAAUUCUUUUAUGCCAGUUUACCUACCACAUUCCCCGCAUUAAUUUCACUGCCUUCAUAUUAUUGGAAGAGGUUGUAUUUUCAAUACCGAAGUAGAGCCUGUUUUAGGGUUUUUUUCCUCCGCUCUCAAUUUUUUUUCUUAGUUUUGGCUCUCAAAAUUUCUGGUUCUGGCCUUGCAAUUAGAACCACUUUUUUUUUUUUUACUAAUAUUGAAAGAUUUGGUGAAUCGGAUGACUUCCCACUUGAAUUUCAAGUGACCAAUCUAGUUUUCUCUAUUUCUUGACUUUAUAUUUUAGAAUAUGUUCAUCAAUGUUUCAAUUCUUUUCAUCUCAACUCUCUCCAUAUGCAUUUCGAGCAACAUAAGUAUCCGUUCCGAUUUCAACAAUAAUGUGCUUAAUAGUUGUUAUAUAUUGUUAUAUUUAGUUGCAUUACAAUAACAAACACUACACAAAAUUUUCUUGGAUUUUAAAUCUUUUAUUAAUACUAAUAAGGAUUUUGGAUAAUGAAGGAACAAGACAACUGAAAGGGCAAUUUUGAAAUAAAAAUAUGCUCAUUUUACUUAAAUGAAUCAUUUAAUCUUACUUUGCUUCUAGUUAGGGGUGGUAGAUGAAUCGAGUUACUCGCAAGGAAUUUAGUCAAAGCUCUACUCGAACUCGAGUUUGACUGAUAUUCGAGUCAAUUAUUGAAUCGAAUUCAAGCAUCUAGGUAAUUGUUAAAUUACCUAAAAACCUAUAUUUUUAGAAAAAAUUGUCUUACCACUCAAGCUGGAAUUUGAUCUUAAUUUGCUUCUUGAGCACCUUUAUCUUUCACAUGAGCCGAACUUGACCUUCAAAGUUGAUGAGCUCAAACUGAGUUUGAGCUCAAGUAAUGUCUUCAAGCUCAUCGAGCUCUAGCUUGAAUACAUUCUGUAUUUGAGUUUGACUCCGUUCAUUGCCAUUCCUAUCCUAGUCAUUGGACAUGUUACAAAAUAAUUUAUUUUGGGGAGGUUAAUGAGAUUUUCAAAAGUUUAGAAGUUCCAAGCGGUAUUCACAAACACCUUAGGGAAGGUUUUCGAAAUUAUCCGAAGAAUCAAUUCAAAGCCAAUUAAUGGAUGUGGCACAGAUUAACCUUAUCAAUCAUGACCGUGUGCAUAAAGCCCCCACUGGAGAUCGGCAUUCAAACACCCAGUGGAGUUCAUUGCCAUGCUAACUUAUUUCAGCCCUGAUGGAGACUUGGCUGCCCUUAGCCUUGGCAUGGGUUGUUGCAUUGGCUUUUCUCUCAAAAGUAUCCACUCGCAAACGCCUAAAGCUAAAUCAUCCACCAGGACCAAAACCAUGGCCUAUUGUUGGCAACUUGAAACUCCUAGGUUCAAUCCCACAUCAAUCCUUACACUUGCUGUCCCAGAAAUAUGGAGAAAUCAUGCAACUAAAAUUUGGUUCCAGCCCUGUUGUAGUAGCUUCAUCCCCUGAAAUGGCAAAAGAAUUCUUGCAAACACAUGACAACAUCUUCGCUUCUCGGCCUACAACUGCUGCUGGCAAAUACACUAGCUAUAACUGCUCCGAUUUGACAUGGGCAC
rnacentral:lncRNA from 1 species